rnacentral:lncRNA from 1 species
AUCCAAGUGAGGGAAUGGAGUACCAAGCUAAAUUACUCAAAUUUAAUCUUGACUUUUUAUGCCUGAGCCAUAAAGUGCAGAAAUGAGAUGAAGCUGUUUUGCUUUUUCACUCAAAUGAAGAAGUAUUUUACAUGGAGUGGUCUGACCGUUUCUAGCUGCAGGGGUUCUGCCAGGAAAGCAGAGGCCGGCUUCACCCCCAGCACUGUCCUGGGGUCUUCCGCCCCCUCCCACAAAUGAAAAGAACAGCGCAACGCCUGUAGGAGUUGACCCCGAAGACAGCAGCGGGAAAAUCACAGAUGUCCCCAGCCAGUGGAGUGAAGUCAGUCCAGCCGAGUUUGGCUGUUUCACCUCGAAGAUGAUCGAGCGGUCCCUAAAGGCCGAAGCGGAACGAGCCAGUCACCAGGCAGGCCUCCUCAGACUCUGGGAGAAAGCACUCCAGGAGAAAACCCGGGCGGAGCUGGCAUGGCUGGAGGACCAGAGAGUGUAAGACACAGACGGCUCUUCCAACACCGCUUUCCUUUAAGUGGGAGAACAUUUCUCAACUUCUGCCCCUCUGUCUGCCUGAUAUAUUGACAUAGUAAGAAUUCUGUCUCUGGACUCUGCACCAUGCUUAGCUCCUGGCCUUCAACAAAGUACGUUAAUGAGGGAAAUUCCGACAUUCCUAAAGGUGAAGCAAAAAUUUAGAGGGACAUCCACUGCUAUUUUUUCCCAAAAGAAAAAUUGAUAGAUGAAAAAUGAUUCACUAAGCCUUAAUAAAACUCUUAACCCUUGCCGAGAAGCAUUCUUCUUUUAAAUUGGAAUCAACUAUAGAACAACAUGGCCUGGGGGAAAGAGCAUGAGCCCCGAGAGUCAGAGGACCUGGGGGUUCUGAUCCCUGCUCCACCACUUGGGGUGAGCAGAG